GGAUUAGAUACCCUGGUAGUCCUAGCUGUAAACGAUGGAUACUAGGUGUUGGACGUAUCGACCCGUUCAGUAUCGUAGCUAACGCGUUAAGUAUCCCGCCUGGGGAGUACGCACGCAAGUGUGAAACUCAAAGGAAUUGACGGGGGCCCGCACAAGCGGUGGAGUAUGUGGUUUAAUUCGAUGCAACGCGAAGAACCUUACCAGGGUUUGACAUCCUACGAACGUCCGAGAGAUCGGAUGGUGCCUUCGGGAACGUAGAGAGAGGUGGUGCAUGGCCGUCGUCAGCUCGUGCCG
rnacentral:rRNA from 1 species